rnacentral:lncRNA from 1 species
AUGGCGUAUGAUGUAUAAUUUUAUACCUACUCCCCAUAUUUUGUACAAUCGAAGAAUAGCCUUUGUUCCAACUUGUCCGAGAUAUGGUUGCUGUCCAGAAUCAAUUUGACAUGCUAUUCUAGAAUGUGGUUCUGCAACAGAACUGUGAUAUCAGUUGGGAUUGAUUUGGGUUACUGAGACUACUUUGAAUAAUUUUUGGGACUGGGUUUGUUACAUUUUCAAGUGGAGCAGGAAAUUGCAGUAGAAUCCUGAUUACUGUGUGGUCGCCGUGGUGUGCCCGCAACAAACAGGUAAUGGAAGGGAAAAAUCAAAUAGUUAAUGAGAUAAGGACCAAGAUCGAGAGCUUUCUGUUGGAAAUGACUGUAAUAAAGGAAAAACUACCUGUCAAUCAGAGGUUGAUGUCGUCCAAAUGGCAGCACCCAGAUAGAAGGUCGGUGAAGGUGAACUUUGAUGCGGCGUUUCGACAACACUUAAAGCAGUCCAGUUCUGGUGUUGUUAUUAGAAACAAUAUGGGUUUGGUUAUGGGGAGUGGAGUGGUUUUUCAAAGGCAUGUCGCAGAUGCUUUCGCAGCUGAGGCCUUGGCAUGUUUGAAUGCCAUUACUUUUGCCAGAUAUAUGGGAUUCAUGAAAGUGGUAGUGGAAGGGGAUUCCAGAACGAUAAUCGUAAAGGCGCAGAAAAGGGGUUUUGGACAGAUCUGCAAUUGGAGUUUAUGUUAACGAAAUUAGAUUGAUGGCUCUUGAUUUUGAUUCUAGUUCUUUUCAACAUGCAGAUCGAGGAUCUAAUUUAGUUGCUCAUACAAUAGCAAGCAUGGGUUUCAAAUUGGGGAACUCUCAAUUCUGGGUUGAAGAAGUACCUUCUGAUGCUAUUGCGGUUACUGAAAGGGAUCGACAGUUGAUGCAGCAACAUGAUCAGGAUGGUUCUAUCAUUGCUUGAGUUGUUUCUGAAAGACGGUCGGAGUCUUGAUUAUGGUUGACUGAUACACAAUGGAAAAGAUGAUAGGUUUUUUUGUGUGUUUGGAUCGUUUUUUCUUCUCUCACCGAGGCAGUUUUUAUGUUUCUGCGUUUUUUUCUCUUCAUUUGGUUGCUUCAUUUAUUGUUUUGUUUGCUUUUCAUGGUUGUAUUGUCAAACACGUGUUUUUAAUUCAAGAGAUGCCUCGAUUUUUUCUUCAAAAAAUAAUCAACGAUAGAGGCACCGUGAAAAUGGAAUUUUAGACACCGUG